rnacentral:rRNA from 1 species
UGCGUAGGCGGAACAAUAAGUCAGUGGUGAAAUCUCCCGGCUCAACCGGGAAACUGCCAUUGAUACUGUUGUUCUUGAGUACAGUUGAAGUGGGCGGAAUGUAUCAUGUAGCGGUGAAAUGCAUAGAUAUGAUACAGAACACCGAUUGCGAAGGCAGCUCACUAAAUUGUAACUGACGCUGAGGCACGAAAGCGUGGGGAGCAAACAGGAUUAGAUACCCUGGUAGUCC